rnacentral:rRNA from 1 species
AGGGUGACAGCCCCGUACACAAAAGCGCAUGUGUUGUGAGCUCGAUGAGUAGGGCGGGACACGUGGUAUCCUGUCUGAAUAUGGGGGGACCAUCCUCCAAGGCUAAAUACUCCUGACUGACCGAUAGUGAACCAGUACCGUGAGGGAAAGGCGAAAAGAACCCCGGCGAGGGGAGUGAAAAAGAACCUGAAACCGUGUACGUACAAGCAGUGGGAGCACAGGUUUACCUGUGUGACUGCGUACCUUUUGUAUAAUGGGUCAGCGACUUAUAUUCUGUAGCAAGGUUAACCGUAUAGGGGAGCCGGAGGGAAACCGAGUCUUAAUUGGGCGUUAAGUUGCAGGGUAUAGACCCGAAACCCGGUGAUCUAGCCAUGGGCAGGUUGAAGGUUGGGUAACACUAACUGGAGGACCGAACCGACUAAUGUUGAAAAAUUAGCGGAUGACCUGUGGCUGGGGGUGAAAGGCCAAUCAAACCGGGAGAUAGCUGGUUCUCCCCGAAAGCUAUUUAGGUAGCGCCUCGUGAAUUCAUCUCCGGGGGUAGAGCACUGUUUCGGCUAGGGGGCCAUCCCGGCUUACCAACCCGAUGCAAACUGCGAAUACCGGAGAAUGUUAUCACGGGAGACACACGGCGGGUGCUAACGUCCGUCGUGAAGAGGGAAACAACCCAGACCGCCAGCUAAGGUCCCAAAGUCAUGGUUAAGUGGGAAACGAUGUGGGAAGGCCCAGACAGCCAGGAUGUUGGCUUAGAAGCAGCCAUCAUUUAAAGAAAGCGUAAUAGCUCACUGGUCGAGUCGGCCUGCGCGGAAGAUGUAACGGGGCUAAACCAUGCACCGAAGCUGCGGCAGCGACACUGUGUGUUGUUGGGUAGGGGAGCGUUCUGUAAGCCUGUGAAGGUGUGUCGUGAGGCAUGCUGGAGGUAUCAGAAGUGCGAAUGCUGACAUAAGUAACGAUAAAGCGGGUGAAAAGCCCGCUCGCCGGAAGACCAAGGGUUCCUGUCCAACGUUAAUCGGGGCAGGGUGAGUCGACCCCUAAGGCGAGGCCGAAAGGCGUAGUCGAUGGGAAACGGGUUAAUAUUCCCGUACUUGGUGUUACUGCGAAGGGGGGACGGAGAAGGCUAUGUUGGCCGGGCGACGGUUGUCCCGGUUUAAGCGUGUAGGUGUGUGUUCCAGGUAAAUCCGGUUCACUUUAACACUGAGGCGUGACGACGAGGCACUACGGUGCUGAAGCAACAAAUGCCCUGCUUCCAGGAAAAGCCUCUAAGCAUCAGGUAACAUCAAAUCGUACCCCAAACCGACACAGGUGGUCAGGUAGAGAAUACCAAGGCGCUUGAGAGAACUCGGGUGAAGGAACUAGGCAAAAUGGUGCCGUAACUUCGGGAGAAGGCACGCUGACACGUAGGUGAAGUGAUUUACUCAUGGAGCUGAAGUCAGUCGAAGAUACCAGCUGGCUGCAACUGUUUAUUAAAAACACAGCACUGUGCAAACACGAAAGUGGACGUAUACGGUGUGACGCCUGCCCGGUGCCGGAAGGUUAAUUGAUGGGGUCAGCGCAAGCGAAGCUCCUGAUCGAAGCCCCGGUAAACGGCGGCCGUAACUAUAACGGUCCUAAGGUAGCGAAAUUCCUUGUCGGGUAAGUUCCGACCUGCACGAAUGGCGUAAUGAUGGCCAGGCUGUCUCCACCCGAGACUCAGUGAAAUUGAACUCGCUGUGAAGAUGCAGUGUACCCGCGGCAAGACGGAAAGACCCCGUGAACCUUUACUAUAGCUUGACACUGAACAUUGAGCCUUGAUGUGUAGGAUAGGUGGGAGGCUUUGAAGUGUGGACGCCAGUCUGCAUGGAGCCGACCUUGAAAUACCACCCUUUAAUGUUU